rnacentral:lncRNA from 1 species
ACCAGCUCCAGGAGGGCAUGAGACCUCACCGGUCUUAUUCAUCAGUGUCGACCCAGCAGUGGCCCCCUGUCUGGUCCGUGUUCAGAACCAAGUGAGAGGAUGCAGGAGUUAGACGAGCGCAGGUCCAAGUGUCAGCUUUGUCCCAGCACCGGAGACUGCGGCUGGGAUCUGUGAAGUCCCCUGCCCCACUUGACCUGACCCAUCCAGGCUGAGCUGCAGGCUUUGAGGAUGAGAGUGGAGGUUUCACUGGAUGGAGGUAGUACCCCGUCUUUCAGUUCUCUGCUCCCUGACCUGGCUCUGCGGAAGAGCAUGAGGCGCCCUCUCAGGUUCCCUCGGGGAUGGGAAACGAGGCCCAUCUCAACUCCUGUCCUCCACACACACCAGCUCCCCCAGGAGGGGCACCCGUAGAAUCUGUAUUCGGGCAUCACCCCAUUCGUUCAGCAAUAUCUGCUGGAGUCAGGGAGCAAAGGAUGACAGACACACCUGCCCGGAG